GACGAACGCUGGCGGCGUGCUUAACACAUGCAAGUCGAACGGAAAGGCCCUGCUUUUGUGGGGUGCUCGAGUGGCGAACGGGUGAGUAACACGUGAGUAACCUGCCCUUGACUUUGGGAUAACUUCAGAAACUGGGGCUAAUACCGGAUAGGAGCUCCUACUGCAUGGUGGGGGUUGGAAGUUUCGGCGGUUGGGGAUGGACUCGCGGCUUAUCAGCUUGUUGGUGGGGUAGUGGCUUACCAAGGCUUUGACGGGUAGCCGGCCUGAGAGGGUGACCGGCCACAUUGGGACUGAGAUACGGCCCAGACUCCUACGGGAGGCAGCAGUGGGGAAUAUUGCACAAUGGGCGGAAGCCUGAUGCAGCAACGCCGCGUGCGGGAUGACGGCCUUCGGGUUGUAAACCGCUUUCGCCUGUGACGAAGCGUGAGUGACGGUAAUGGGUAAAGAAGCACCGGCUAACUACGUG
rnacentral:rRNA from 1 species